UGAGGAAUAUUGGACAAUGGAGGCAACUCUGAUCCAGCCAUGCCGCGUGAAGGACUAAGGCCCUAUGGGCUGUAAACUUCUUUAGACGCAGAGCAAUAAGGGCCACGCGUGGUCCGAUGAGAGUAUGCGUAGAAUAAGCAUCGGCUAACUCCGUGCCAGCAGCCGCGGUAAUACGGAGGAUGCGAGCGUUAUCCGGAUUUAUGGGUUUAAAAGGUGCGCAGGCGGGCGUCUAAGUCAGCGGUGAAAGUUCCCGGCUCAACCGGGUCAGUGCCGAUGAUACUGGGGGUCUUGAAUGCGGUCGAGGCCGGCGGAAUGUGGCGUGUAGCGGUGAAAUGCAUAGAUAUGCCACAGAACACCGAUAGCGAAGGCAGCUGGCCGGGCCUGCAUUGACGCUGAGGCACGAAAGCGU
rnacentral:rRNA from 1 species